ensembl:snoRNA
AUCCUUCUGUGGGUCGUAAGUGUGAAGUUUGGGUUUUUGAGACGUUGUGUGUGAGAUAUGCCUCCCUGGAACCCUGUUACACGUGGGUCAGCGCGGUACCCAUCUGACA